GGUUGGUUCGAAGGUAAUGACUUACCUCGAUUGUUCACAGUCAGUUACAGAUCCAACUCCUUGUUCUACUCUUUCCCCUCUUCCUGAUACUGUACUUGACUAGUCUUAA
ensembl:misc_RNA Y_RNA Y RNA